rnacentral:tRNA from 1 species
AUCUGGGUGGCUCAAUCGGUUGAGCAUCCGACUUCAGCUCAGAUCAUGAUCUCACGGUUUGUGGGUUCGAGUCCCACAUUGGAUU